UACAGAGGUGGCAAGCGUUGUUCGGAAUUACUGGGCGUAAAGGGCGCGUAGGCGGCCUUGUAAGUCUCGUGUGAAAGCCCUCGGCUUAACUGAGGAUCUGCACGGGAUACUGCGAGGCUUGAGUUCGGGAGAGGAAAGCGGAAUUCCGGGUGUAGCGGUGAAAUGCGUAGAUAUCCGGAGGAACACCAGUGGCGAAGGCGGCAUCCUGGACCGACACUGACGCUGAGGCGCGAAAGCUAGGGGAGCAAACGGG
rnacentral:rRNA from 1 species